rnacentral:rRNA from 1 species
GGUUAAGCGAAUAAGCGUACACGGUGGAUGCCUAGGCAAUCAGAGGCGAUGAAGGACGUGCUAAUCUGCGAAAAGCGUCGGUAAGGUGAUAUGAACCGUUAUACCCGACGAUAUCCGAAUGGGGAAACCCAGUAUCCAAUGGAUACUAUCAUUAACUGAAUCCAUAGGUUAGUGAGGCGAACCGGGAGAACUGAAACAUCUCAGUACCCCGAGGAAAAGAAAUCAACCGAGAUUCCCCUAGUAGCGGCGAGCGAACGGGGAGCAGCCCAGAGUCUUAAUCAAUAACAGUGUCAGGAGAACGGUCUGGAAAGUCCGGCAGUAAAGGGUGAUAGCCCCGUAUCUGAAGAUGCUGUUGUUGUGAACUCGACGAGUAGGGCGGGACACGUGUUAUCCUGUCUGAA